UACGUAGGGGGCAAGCGUUGUCCGGAAUCAUUGGGCGUAAAGAGCGUGUAGGCGGUUCGACAAGUCGGGUGUGAAAACUCCGGGCUCAACCCGGAGACGCCACCCGAUACUGUCGUGACUGGAGUCCGGUAGGGGAGUGGGGAAUUCCUGGUGUAGCGGUGAAAUGCGCAGAUAUCAGGAGGAACACCGGUGGCGAAGGCGGGUCUCUGGGCCGAUACUGACGCUGAGGAGCGAAAGCGUGGGGAGCGAACAGG
rnacentral:rRNA from 1 species